CGGGUUCUGUGUCGUAGCUAACGCAUUAAGUUCCCCGCCUGGGGAGUGCGGCCGCAAGGCUAAAACUCAAAGGAAUUGACGGGGGCCCGCACAAGCGGCGGAGCAUGCGGAUUAAUUCGAUGCAACGCGAAGAACCUUACCAAGGCUUGACAUAGCCGAGAACGCUGUAGAGAUACAGAACUCUUUGGACACUCGGUUACAGGUGGUGCAUGGUUGUCGUCAGCUCGUGUCGUGAGAUGUUCGGUUAAGUCCGGCAACGAGCGCAACCCUCGUCCUAUGUUGCCAGCACGUUAUGGUGGGAACUCAUGGGAUACUGCCGUGGUCAACACGGAGGAAGGUGGGGAUGACGUCAAGUCAUCAUGCCCCUUAUGUCUUGGGCUUCACGCAUGCUACAAUGGCCGAUACAAAGGGCUGCGAUACCGCGAGGUGGAGCGAAUCCCAAAAAGUCGGUCUCAGUUCGGAUUGGGGUCUGCAACUCGACCCCAUGAAGUCGGAGUCGCUAGUAAUCGCAGAUCAGCAACGCUGCGGUGAAUACGUUCCCGGGCCUUGUACACACCGCCCGUCAAGUCAUGAAAGUCGGUAACACCCGAAGCCGGUGGCCUAACCCUUGUGGAGGGAGCCGUCGAAGGUGGGACUGGUGAUUAGGACU
rnacentral:rRNA from 1 species